rnacentral:rRNA from 1 species
AACAGCCCAGACCACCAGCUAAGGUCCCCAAAUUGUCACUAAGUGAUAAAGGAGGUGGGAGUGCAAAGACAACCAGGAGGUUUGCCUAGAAGCAGCCAUCCUUGAAAGAGUGCGUAAUAGCUCACUGGUCAAGUGAUUCCGCGCCGACAAUGUAACGGGGCUCAAGCACACCACCGAAGUUGUAGAUUUCGUACUGUGACAGGCCUUCGUGGUCCAGUCGUACGGAGUGGUAGGAGAGCGUCGUGUGGCGAGUGAAGCGGCGGUGUGAACCAGCCGUGGACGCCACACGAGUGAGAAUGCAGGCAUGAGUAGCGAAAGACGGGUGAGAAACCCGUCCUCCGAAAGACCAAGGGUUCCAGGGCCAGGUUAAUCCGCCCUGGGUAAGUCGGGACCUAAGGCGAGGCCGACAGGCGUAGUCGAUGGACAACGGGUUGAUAUUCCCGUACCGGCGAAGAACCGCCCAAGCUAAUCCAGUGGUGCUAAGAGUCCUAACCCGGCUGAGUGGAUCCCUUCGGGGUGAUGCCGGCCGGUCUAACGCUCGACCCCAUGCUGGUGCGGCUAGCGUAUUAACAGGUGUGACGCAGGAAGGUAGCUGAGCCAGGCGAUGGUAUCCGUAAGGUGAACCUGGUGUAAGGAUGUAGGGCUGACGAUAGGCAAAUCCGUCGUCUGUGUGCCUGAGAUCCGAUGCGUACCCCGAUUGGGGGAAUUCAGUGAUCCUAUGCUGCCGAGAAAAGCAUCGACGCGAGGUUCAAGCCGCCCGUACCCCAAACCGACUCAGGUGGUCAGGUAGAGAAUACCAAGGAGAUCGAGAGAAUCGUGGUUAAGGAACUCGGCAAAAUGCCCCCGUAACUUCGGGAGAAGGGGGGCCGGAACCGUGAACGGACUUGCUCCGGGAGCGGGAAAGGCCGCAGAGACCAGUGGGAAGCGACUGUUUACUAAAAACACAGGUCCGUGCCAAGUCGCAAGACGAUGUAUACGGACUGACGCCUGCCCGGUGCUGGAAGGUUAAGAGGAAGGGUUAGCGCAAGCGAAGCUCAGAAUUUAAGCCCCAGUAAACGGCGGUGGUAACUAUAACCAUCCUAAGGUAGCGAAAUUCCUUGUUGGGUAAGUUCCGA